rnacentral:rRNA from 1 species
ACACAUGCAGUCGAGCGGAAACGAUCCUAGCUUGCUAGGAGGCGUCGAGCGGCGGACGGGUGAGUAAUGCAUAGGAAUCUGCCCGGUAGUGGGGGAUAACCUGGGGAAACCCAGGCUAAUACCGCAUACGCCCUACGGGGGAAAGCAGGGGAUCUUCGGACCUUGCGCUAUCGGAUGAGCCUAUGUCGGAUUAGCUAGUUGGUGAGGUAACGGCUCACCAAGGCUGCGAUCCGUAGCUGGUCUGAGAGGAUGAUCAGCCACAUCGGGACUGAGACACGGCCCGAACUCCUACGGGAGGCAGCAGUGGGGAAUAUUGGACAAUGGGCGAAAGCCUGAUCCAGCCAUGCCGCGUGUGUGAAGAAGGCCUUCGGGUUGUAAAGCACUUUCAGUGAGGAAGAAAGCCUUGAGGUUAAUACCCUCGAGGGAGGACAUCACUCACAGAAGAAGCACCGGCUAACUCCGUGCCAGCAGCCGCGGUAAUACGGAGGGUGCGAGCGUUAAUCGGAAUUACUGGGCGUAAAGCGCGCGUAGGCGGCUUGAUAAGCCGGUUGUGAAAGCCCCGGGCUCAACCUGGGAACGGCAUCCGGAACUGUCAGGCUAGAGUGCAGGAGAGGAAGGUAGAAUUCCCGGUGUAGCGGUGAAAUGCGUAGAGAUCGGGAGGAAUACCAGUGGCGAAGGCGGCCUUCUGGACUGACACUGACGCUGAGGUGCGAAAGCGUGGGUAGCAAACAGGAUUAGAUACCCUGGUAGUCCACGCCGUAAACGAUGUCGACUAGCCGUUGGGCUCCUUGAGAGCUUUG